rnacentral:lncRNA from 1 species
CCACUAAGUUUCCUUCAAAUUGAAUUUGGCUAGCUCUUACUUAGGAAAACUGACUUCUAUUGAGACCAAAUUGCUGCAAACUGAAUCAUUGUGUGUUCGAAGUAUGCGAAUCUCCCAGGUGAGACUCAGGAUGGCAACACAGGCAUCUAGAAGCAAUUUAAGAAGUGAUUAAAGCCCAAGAGCAUAGUGAAGGAAAAGAAAACAAAUAACAAAGCAAUGGCUGCAUAGCACGUGUUAUUAAGUCCAUCAAAGAUUGCAUUCUUACAGAAAAGCCUCUUUGCAGUCAACAUCCACAGAAAAGAAAUAGAAGCAAUUGAUCUGCAAGGACCUGCCUUUGAAAUAUUGACACAUUGAGGAAGGCUGACACAUGAUGAGAAGAGUCAGUGGUCCUGAGGUACAGUACUUAAGAUAACCCUGUGAAGGCUGAGAUUGAUAUUUGAAAUUCACAACUGAUCUUGGAGCCUGGUACAGCAGUCAUGGAGCCAUAUUGGAUUGUGAAAGGAACUCAGUUGACCUGGCCUAUUGCAGAUUUAUUCUGAGAAUUUCAAUUCAGUCUUUGCUGCUGUUUGGAAAUCUUUCAUGAAUCUUUUAAUAACUUCCUUACAUACAUCUUGUUCCAUUAAAGCCCCAAAUUUGGCUUUGUCAGCUCUCUUUCUUCAUAAUCUUUAGGAUUUGUUCAUGUGUGGAUGUGAUGGAACUGAAGUCGCUAGGUUCAUGCUACCUGGAACAUGAGACUGACAAAUAGAGGAGCACUGAGUCAAAUGAAUCUCGGAGAAAUGGAGCUGGAAGAAAACUGGAGAAUGAAAGAAAAGAUAUACGCAAAGUGGAUUCUAAUCAUAGAGUUUCAUUCUUGUUGCCCAGGCUGGAGUGCAAUGGUGUGAUCUUGGCUCACCGCAACCUUGACCUCCUAGGUUCAAGUGAUUCUCCUGUCUCAGUCUCCUGAGUAGCUAGUAUUACAGGCAUGCACCACUAUGCCCGGCUAAUUUUGUAUUUUUAGUUGAGAUGGGGUUUCUCCAUGUUGGUCAGGCUGGUCUCGAACUCCCGACCUCAGGUGAUCCACCUGCUUCAGCCUCCCAAAGUGCUGGGAUUACAGGUGUGAGCAGCCGUGCCCUGCUGAAACUUAUUUGUUUGAGCAAUAAAAGCCACAUAUUUCCUCUUUUGAUAAAGUGUAAAAUUAUAGUACUCUUCCAAGAUACUCAUGGAUUGAUAACAAAAAACUAACAACUGGAUAUUGUUUUAAAUAUUGAAGAAAAGCAAACAAAUCAACAUCAGCCAUAACAUUGCUUCAUAUGCCAAAACCAGGAUGAAAUAAUGCUUUUAUAGAAGAUGUGACCUGGGAUCAAAUAGCAUCAUUUACCAAAUGCAAAGGAUUGGUGUAGCUCUUGACUUCAAGGCAUAUUAAAUCUAGCAAAGCUAAGAUUCAAUAUAGAUGUAGGUCCAAUUUCAUGACAAAAAAUCAAAGAAACCAACCAAAAUCAGAGAACUUAGUAAGUUUGUGGGUAUGCAAUCUACAGAAGUGAAUUAUAUAUAUAUGAUAAAAGAGAAGAAAAGACUCUAUUUACAAUUCAACAAAAAAGAUAAAACGCUUAGGAAUAAGUAUGAGAGAUGGGCAUGAUUUAUAUAAAGAACAUUUUAAGAUGCUACCAAAAAACACAAAAUAAAAUGAAUAAAUGGGAAAGCAUAUAAUUUCUUAGAUAGGAAAAGUCAACAUCACAAAAAUUUAAUUCAAUAAAAAUAGCAACAGCAUUUUUAUUUUGUAAUCAGAGACAAGCUAAUACUAAAGUUCAAAUGAAAAAA